rnacentral:lncRNA from 1 species
AUGGCAGGCGAGAGAGGAAACGAUGGGGACAAAAAGGAAGGGAUGGGGAGCGCUCUCACGGUAAAAAAGGACAGAUGGGAUGGAGAGCAAAUGGGCCCCCAUUCGAAGGAUGGCUUGGCAGGCCUCUCUGCGCCCCCAAACACCCUCAAACCGCAUAAGAGGAGGAAGGAGGAGACUGAGUUUGGGGCCUGCGUGGACCAAAGAAGGAGAAGUCAAAAGAAAAAUGGGAGGGAAAGCUUGGAAGCAAAGUGGACAAAGACGCAAAAGAGGGGAAGUUGGAAGUGGAACUGCAAAAAAAGCGCUGGAAAGCAGCAGCUAGGAAAGAGGCAGCUCCCGAAGGGGCUCAGACAUAGCCUCGAAACGGGGUCCUGGGGAGGCGAUGGGGCAGAGCUGAGAGGGGGCAUCGCUGGGACGCCGCGGGGAGGUGAGGGAUGCCUCCAGGAGGGUGGGGAGUCGGGAAGGCGGCGCCCAGCGCGCGGGGGCUGGCGGAGGGGCCUCGGCGGGGUCCGGGAGCCGAGGACCGAGUGGGAGCGGGCCGGCGGGGAGGGGGCGCGGCGGGCACGUCGCCGACGCCGGGAGGAAGUAGGGAGACGAACCCGGGCAGGGGCGAAGGGGGAGAAGAGGAAGGAGCGGGCGGAGGGCUUGGGGGAAGGGCGGCGGGAGGAGGGGGGAGGGGAGAGGGGAGGGGGGCGGGGACGCGCCGCGACCAGACCUGGCCGGGGGCCGGGGGGCCGGCGGCGCGGACGGCUCGGUCACCUCGGGCUGUGGCCUCCCUCCCCGCGGGGCGAGCCGCCGGCGGGCAGCGUCUUGGGAGGCGGCGGCAGCGGCGGCGGCAGCGGCCCGACCCGUGCGGUCACCAUCGUCCGCGGCAGCAGGCGCUGCGGGCCGAGCCCCUCAGCAGCCGGCGGCAGCCAUGGCCUACUGCGCUCGCUCCUCCCGCCCCCGGCGCUCUGCGGCGGCCGCGGUCCGCUCUCGCGCUCUGCGCCUGCGCGCGCCGCGCCCCGCCCCCUCCCCCGACCGCGCACGCGCACGCGCACGCGCACGCGCCGGCGCGCGCUCCCGCGCUCACUCACAAUCGCACCGGCCCGGGGCUUCCCGCGCCGCCUCCGGUACGUGGGCGGGAGACACGCGGCCCACGCGGCCGGGCUCAGGCAGCUAUGGAGACGCGCACCACGCCGACACCUGCACGCGCACUGUGACACGCGCCAUUCUGACACACGUGUGCUCUCACACUCCCCGACACCGGAGCCGCACGCGCUCGCACCCACACUCACCUGCCGGGACCACGUGGGAGGACUGGAGGGGCUGAUCCUCACCGUGCAACCGCAGUAGCAACGAUGCUGGAAUUUUUUUUUAACUCCCUCGCUGACUGGGCUGGACUGUCAACUCCAUGGCGUCGGGAACCAAGUCUGAGAUGGCUCAGCAAUGCCUAGCACACAACUGGGGCUCCUUACGCCCCUGUCGAAUAAGUGAGUGGAUGCACCACUGAAGACGUUCACGGGUUAUCCCUUGAUUUUAAAUUUCCGCCCCUUGGUUUAAAGAAUUUGUUCAAGGAAUUUUAUUGUAUGAAAUUAAAUGGUAUUUGUUUCGUUUGGUUCAAGGGUCAAAACAGAGAUUAGUGUAUACACCCCGUUCCCAAGGUCAAGGAGGCUCGGUUGUUUUCUCCCCAACUGACCAGCCUUCCUACUCUAAAUGUUAACACCUUUUAGGGCAGAAACUGUUCCCCACUUCCCAAAACAAAGCCUGAGGCACGUCGUGUGUGCGCAGAACAAAACAAGAAUGUUGCUAGGCUUCUAAGCUUUGCUGGACUCCUCGUUCCCCGGUUUUUCUAGGGCCUCACGACUCUCCACAAAUCCCUCACCCCAUCUGCCUCCUUUUUCCCCAGGGAGAAAAAAAAACAACAAACAAACAAACAAAAAAACACUGUUCCUUGCUGUGUCUUUGGUGAGUUCCUGGAGAUGGAGAUCCAGUCGCUACUAGAAACCAGUCUGGCCUUUGAUGUUGGCAGCGCCGUAUGUACACUGAAAAUACACACCCAGUAGUAG